rnacentral:rRNA from 1 species
UACGGGGGGUGCAAACGUUGCUCGGAAUCAUUGGGCGUAAAGCGCACGUAGGCGGUCCAGUAAGUCGGGUGUGAAAGCCCUCGGCUCAACCGAGGAAGUGCAUUCGAAACUGCUGAACUUGAGUAUGGAAGAGGGUCGCGGAAUUCCCGGUGUAGAGGUGAAAUUCGUAGAUAUCGGGAGGAACACCAGUGGCGAAGGCGGCGACCUGGGCCAAUACUGACGCUGAGGUGCGAAAGCGUGGGGAGCAAACAGG